CCCUUAGAUGUUCUGGGCCGCACGCGCGCUACACUGAAGGGAUCAGCGUGUCUUCCCUUCCCGAGAGGGACGGGUAACCCGCUGAACCCCCUUCGUGGUUGGGAUCGGAGCUUGCAAUUGUUCUCCGUGAACCAGGAAUUCCCAGUAAGCGCAAGUCAUAAGCUUGCGUUGAUUACGUCCCUGCCCUUUGUACACACCGCCCGUCGCUACUACCGAUUGAACGUUUUAGUGAGGUAUUUGGACUGAGCCUUCGGGGACCUCUCGUCUCCGUUGUUGCUCGGAAAGACUCCCAAACUUGAGCGUUUAGAGGAAGUAAAAGUCGUAACA
rnacentral:rRNA from 1 species